CCUACGGGGGGCAGCAGUGGGGAAUAUUGGACAAUGGGGGCAACCCUGAUCCAGCCAUGCCGCGUGUGUGAAGAAGGCCCGCGGGUUGUAAAGCACUUUCAGUGAGGAAGAACGCCUGGUGGUUAAUACCCAUCAGGAAAGACAUCACUCACAGAAGAAGCACCGGCUAACUCCGUGCCAGCAGCCGCGGUAAUACGGAGGGUGCGAGCGUUAAUCGGAAUUACUGGGCGUAAAGCGCGCGUAGGUGGCUUGAUAAGCCGGUUGUGAAAGCCCCGGGCUCAACCUGGGAACGGCAUCCGGAACUGUCAAGCUAGAGUGCAGGAGAGGAAGGUAGAAUUCCCGGUGUAGCGGUGAAAUGCGUAGAGAUCGGGAGGAAUACCAGUGGCGAAGGCGGCCUUCUGGACUGACACUGACACUGAGGUGCGAAAGCGUGGGUAGCAAACAGGAUUAGAUACCCGAGUAGUC
rnacentral:rRNA from 1 species